rnacentral:rRNA from 1 species
AUUGAACGCUGGCGGCAGGCCUAACACAUGCAAGUCGAGCGGAUGAAGGGAGCUUGCUCCUGGAUUCAGCUGCGGACGGGUGAGUAAUGCCUAGGAAUCUGCCUGGUAGUGGGGGAUAACGUCCGGAAACGGGCGCUAAUACCGCAUACGUCCUGAGGGAGAAAGUGGUGGAUCUUCGGACCUCACGCUAUCAGAUGAGCCUAGGUCGGAUUAGCUAGUUGGUGGGGUAAAGGCCUACCAAGGCGACGAUCCGUAACUGGUCUGAGAGGAUGAUCAGUCACACUGGAACUGAGACACGGUCCAGACUCCUACGGGAGGCAGCAGUGGGGAAUAUUGGACAAUGGGCGAAAGCCUGAUCCAGCCAUGCCGCGUGUGUGAAGAAGGUCUUCGGAUUGUAAAGCACUUUAAGUUGGGAGGAAGGGCAGUAAGUUAAUACCUUGCUGUUUUGACGUUACCAACAGAAUAAGCACCGGCUAACUUCGUG